UACGUAGGGUGCAAGCGUUGUCCGGAAUUAUCGGGCGUAAAGAGCUCGUAGGCGGUCUGUCACGUCGGAUGUGAAAAUCCAGGGCUCAACCCUGGACCUGCAUUCGAUACGGGCAGACUAGAAUUCGGUAGGGGAGACUGGAAUUCCUGGUGUAGCGGUGAAAUGCGCAGAUAUCAGGAGGAACACCGGUGGCGAAGGCGGGUCUCUGGGCCGAUAUUGACGCUGAGGAGCGAAAGCGUGGGGAGCGAACAGG
rnacentral:rRNA from 1 species